GCGCCCGUAGCUCAGUCGGAUAGAGCGUCUGCCUUCUAAGCAGAGGGUCGGGGGUUCGAAUCCCUCCGGGCGCGCCA
rnacentral:tRNA from 1 species